AAACCGGGUGAUCUAGCCAUGACCAGGUUGAAGUUGGGGUAAAACCCGAUGGAGGACCGAACCGACCCCCGUUGAAACGUUGGCGGAUGAGUUGUGGCUAGGGGUGAAAUUCCAAUCGAACCCGGAGAUAGCUGGUUCUCCCCGAAAUAGCUUUAGGGCUAGCGUCGAGGUAGAGAGUUGCGUGAAGGUAGAGCACUGAAUAUGUGAUGGCCCCAUCUCGGGGUACUGAGCAUAAUCAAACUGCGAAUGUCACGGAAACAUACUCGGCAGUCAGACAGCGGGUGAUAAGGUCCGUUGUCAAGAGGGAAACAGCCCAGACCAUCAGCUAAGGUCCCAAAAUGUAUGCUAAGUGGAAAAGGAUGUGGAGAUGUACAGACAACUAGGAGGUUGGCUCAGAAGCAGCCAUCCUUUAAAGAGUGCGUAACAGCUCACUAGUCGAAUGACUCUGCGCCGAUAAUUUACCGGGGCUAAGCAUACUACCGAAGCUAUGGAUCCCAAGGGAUGGUAGGGGAGCGUUCCAUGAACGGAGAAGCGCGAUCGAGAGGACGCGUGGAGAUCAUGGAAGAGAGAAUGCCGGUGUGAGUAGCGGAACGUGGGUGAGAAUCCCACGCACCGAAAACCCAAGGUUUCCAGAGGAAGGUUCGUCCGCUCUGGGUAAGUCGGGACCUAAGGCGAGGCCGAGAGGCGUAGUCGAUGGACAACAGGUAGAGAUUCCUGUACUCAUAUAUAUGUGAAGGAAUGACGGAGAGAGGAAGCUGCAGCCAGCGGCUGGAAGAGCUGGUGCAAGCGAGAUAUCGGGAUGGCAGGCAAAUCCACCAUCCGAAACGAGAAGGCGUGAAGCGUACGGAAAGCUAAGGCGAGUACGGAAGGCAGUGGAGGAGCUUCCAAGAAAAGUUUCUAACGUAAAGUAUAUGUGACCCGUACCGAAAAUGGACACACAUGGGUGAGGAGAGAAUCCUAAGGUGAGCGAGAGAACUAUAGCUAAGGAACUCUGCAAAAUGACUCCGUAACUUAGGGAGAAGGAGUGCUCAUAGAGAUAUGAGCCGCAGUGAAACGGCCCAAGCGACUGUUUACCAAAAACACAGCUCUCUGCUAAGCCGCAAGGCGAAGUAUAGGGGGUGACGCCUGCCCGGUGCUGGAAGGUUAAGGGGAAGGGUUAACGCAAGUGAAGCCCUGAACUGAAGCCCCAGUAAACGGCGGCCGUAACUAUAACGGUCCUAAGGUAGCGAAAUUCCUUGUCAGGUAAGUUCUGACCCGCACGAAAGGCGUAACGAUUUGGGCGCUGUCUCAGCUGUAGACUCGGUGAAGUCUUAGUACCUGUGAAGAUGCAGGUUACCCGCGACUAGACGGAAAGACCCCAUGGAGCUUUACUGCAGGUUGAUAUUGGGAUUUGAUGCAGCAUGUACAGGAUAGGUAGGAGGCAAAGAGAUGGAUACGCCAGUAUUCAAGGAGCCGCUGUUGGGAUACUACCCCUGUUGUAUUGGAUUUCUAACCGGACGACGUAAAGCCGUUGACGGGACAGUGUCAGUCGGGCAGUUUGACUGGGGCGGUCGCCUCCCAAAGAGUAACGGAGGCGCCCAAAGAUACCCUCAGCUUGGAUGGAAACCAAGCGCAGAGUGCAAAGGCAAAAGGGUGUUUGACUGCGAGACCUACAAGUCGAGCAGGGACGAA
rnacentral:rRNA from 1 species